GAUGAACGCUGGCGGCGUGCCUAAUACAUGCAAGUCGAGCGAACGGACGAGAAGCUUGCUUCUCUGAUGUUAGCGGCGGACGGGUGAGUAACACGUGGAUAACCUACCUAUAAGACUUGGAUAACUUCGGGAAACCGUAGCUAAUACCGGAUAAUAUUUUGAACCGCAUGGUUCAAAAGUGAAAGACGGUCUUGCUGUCACUUAUAGAUGGAUCCGCGCUGCAUUAGCUAGUUGGUAAGGUAACGGCUUACCAAGGCAACGAUGCAUAGCCGACCUGAGAGGGUGAUCGGCCACACUGGAACUGAGACACGGUCCAGACUCCUACGGGAGGCAGCAGUAGGGAAUCUUCCGCAAUGGGCGAAAGCCUGACGGAGCAACGCCGCGUGAGUGAUGAAGGUCUUCGGAUCGUAAAACUCUGUUAUUAGGGAAGAACAUAUGUGUAAGUAACUGUGCACAUCUUGACGGUACCUAAUGAGAAAGCCACGGCUAACUACGUG
rnacentral:rRNA from 1 species